GUAGGGAAUAUUGGACAAUGGGGGCAACCCUGAUCCAGCAAUGCCGCGUGGGUGAAGAAGGCCUGCGGGUUGUAAAGCCCUUUCGGUAGUGAAGAAAGGCCCUGUGUGAAUAGCAUGGGGUGUUGACGUUAGCUACAGAAGAAGCACCGGCAAACUCAAGUGCCAGCAGCCGCGGUAAUACAGAGGGUGCGAGCGUUAAUCGGAAUCACUGGGCGUAAAGGGUGCGUAGGCGGUUGCUUAAGUCGGAUGUGAAAGCCCUGGGCUUAACCUGGGAACCGCAUUCGAUACUGGGUAACUAGAGUCUGAUAGAGGGUAGUGGAAUUCCGGGUGUAGCGGUGAAAUGCGUAGAUAUCCGGAGGAACACCAGUGGCGAAUGCGGCUACCUGGAUCAAGACUGACGCUGAUGCGCGAAAAGCGUUGGGGAGCAAACAGGAUUAGAUACCCUGGUAGUCCACGCCCUAAACGAUUAAAACUAAGCUGUUGGGGGUGACUGGCCCUUGGUAGCGAAGCCAAGGCGAAUAGUCCUCCGGCUGGGGAGUACGGCCGCAAUGUUAAAACUCGAAUGAAUUGACCGGGGGCCCGCACAAGCGGUGGAGCAUGUGUUUUAAUUCGAUGCAACCCGAAGAACCUUUACCUGGCCUGGACAUCCCCCGAACCCUUGAGAGAUUGAGGGGUGCUUUCGGGGAGCGGGGAGACAGGUGCUGCAUGGCUGUCGUCAGCUCGUGUCGUUGAGAUGUUGGGUUAAGUCCCGCAACGA
rnacentral:rRNA from 1 species